rnacentral:tRNA from 1 species
GGUCGCGUAGCUCAGCUGGAGACGCAUUCCGAUUUCAAUCGGAACGGUCAAAGUUCGAAUCCUUGCACGAUCA